GUCGGGUGCAGUGGCGCGCGCCUGUAAUCCAAGCUGCUGGGAGACUGAGGCUGGCGGAUCGCUUGAGUUCAGGGGUUCUGGGCUGCAGUGGACUAUGUUGAUCAGGUGUCCACACUAAGUUCGGUAUCGAUAUGGUGCUCCUGGGGGAGCUCGGGACCACCAGGUCGUCUAAGGAGGGGUGAACUGGCCCAGGUCGGAGACGGAGCAGGUCAAAGCCCCUGUGUCGAUCAGUAGUGGGAUCGCUCCUGUGAAUAGACACUGCAGCGCAGCCUGAGCGAUACAGCGAGACCCAGACUUUU
ensembl:misc_RNA Metazoa_SRP Metazoan signal recognition particle RNA